ACCCAGAGUAAAGGUUCAGACCAGUAUAAUAACCCAGAGUAAAGGUUCAGACCAGAAUAUUAACCCAGAGUAAAAGUUCAAUCAAGUAUAUUAACCCAGAGUAAAGGUUCAUACCAGUAUAAUAACCCAGAGUAAAGGUUCAUACAAGUAUAAUAACCCAGAGUAAAGGUUCAUACCAGUAUAUUAACCCAGAGUAAAGGUUCAUACCAGUAUAAUAACCCAGAGUAAAGGUUCAGACCAGUAUAUUAACCCAGAGUAAAGGUUCAGACCAGUAUAAUAACCCAGAGUAAAGGUUCAUACCAGUAUAAUAACCCAGAGUAAAGGUUCAUACCAGUAUAAUAACCCAGAGUAAAGGUUGAGACCAGUAUAAUAACCCAGAGUAAAGGUUCAGACCAGUAUAAUAACCCAGAGUAAAGGUUCAUACCAGUAUAAUAACCCAGAGUAAAGGUUCAUACCAGUAUAAUAACCCAGAGUAAAGGUUCAGACCAGUAUAUUAACCCAGAGUAAAGGUUCAUACCAUUAUAUUAACCCAGAGUAAAGGUUCAUACCAGUAUAAUAACCCAGAGUAAAGGUUCAUACCAGUAUAAUAACCCAGAGUAAAGGUUCAUACCAGUAUAAUAACCCAGAGUAAAGGUUCAGACCAGUAUAAUAACCCAGAGUAAAGGUUCAUACCAGUAUAAUAACCCAGAGUAAAGGUUCAGACCAGUAUAAUAACCCAGAGUAAAGGUUCAGACCAGUAUAAUAACCCAGAGUAAAGGUUCAUACCAGUAUAAUAACCCAGAGUAAAGGUUCAUACCAGUAUAAUAACCCAGAGUAAAGGUUCAGACCAGUAUAUUAACCCAGAGUAAAGGUUCAGACCAGUAUAAUAACCCAGAGUAAAGGUUCAUACCAGUAUAAUAACCCAGAGUAAAGAUUCAUACCAGUAUAAUAACCCAGAGUAAAGGUUCAGACCAGUAUAUCAACCCAGAGUAAAGGUUCAGACCAGUAUAAUAACCCAGAGUAAAGGUUCAUACCAGUAUAAUAACCCAGAGUAAAGGUUCAUACAAGUAUAAUAACCCAGAGUAAAGGUUCAUACAAGUAUAAUAACCCAGAGUAAAGGUUCAUACCAGUAUAAUAACCCAGAGUAAAGGUUCAUACCAGUAUAAUAACCCAGAGUAAAGGUUCAUACCAGUAUAAUAACCCAGAGUAAAGGUUCAUACCAGUAUAAUAACCCAGAGUAAAGGUUCAUACCAGU